rnacentral:rRNA from 1 species
GCCCCGGGCUUAACCUGGGAACGGCAUCUGAUACUGUUAGGGCUAGAGUAGGUGAGAGGAAGGUAGAAUUCCAGGGUGUAGCGGUGAAAUGCGUAGAGAUCUGGAGGAAUACCGAUGGCGAAGGCAGCCUUCUGGCAUCAUACUGACACUGAGGUUCGAAAGCGUGGGUAGCAAACAGGAUUAGAUACCCUGGUAGUCCACGCCGUAAACGAUGUCUACUAGUCGUUGGGUCCCUUGAGGACUUAGUGACGCAGCUAACGCAAUAAGUAGACCGCCUGGGGAGUACGGCCGCAAGGUUAAAACUCAAAUGAAUUGACGGGGGCCCGCACAAGCGGUGGAGCAUGUGGUUUAAUUCGAUGCAACGCGAAGAACCUUACCUGGUCUUGACAUAUCUAGAAUCCUGCAGAGAUGCGGGAGUGCCUUCGGGAAUUAGAAUACAGGUGCUGCAUGGCUGUCGUCAGCUCGUGUCGUGAGAUGUUGGGUUAAGUCCCGCAACGAGCGCAACCCUUGUCCUUAGUUACCAGCGGUUUGGCCGGGAACUCUAAGGAUACUGCCAGUGACAAACUGGAGGAAGGCGGGGACGACGUCAAGUCAUCAUGGCCCUUACGACCAGGGCUACACACGUGCUACAAUGGUAGGUACAGAGGGCAGCUACACAGCGAUGUGAUGCGAAUCUCAAAAAGCCUAUCGUAGUCCAGAUUGGAGUCUGCAACUCGACUCCAUGAAGUAGGAAUCGCUAGUAAUCGCGGAUCAGAAUGCCGCGGUGAAUACGUUCCCUGGGCCUUGUACACACCGCCCGUCACCCCAUCGGAGUUGACUGCUACAGUAAGAUCAUGGCUCAACAAGUCGUAACAAGGUAACCNCUAGAGUGAUCCGUCUG